AGUGAUCGCUGGCGGUGGGCCUAACACAUGCAAGUCGAACGGCAGCACAAUAAGAUCUUGCUCUUACGGGUUGCGAUUGACGGACGGGUGAUUAAUACAGCGUAAUCUACUUUUUCGUGGGUGAUUACGUAGGGAAACUUACGCUAAUACCGCAUACUACCUACGGCUGAAAUCAGGAGAUCUUCGGACCUUGCGCGAUUUAAUGAGCCGAUGUCGGAUUAGCUAGUUGGCGGGGUAAAGGCCCACCAAGGCGACGAUCCGUAGCUGGUCUGAGAGGAUGCUCAGCCACACUGGAACUGCGCCACGGUCUCGAGUACUACGGGAGGGCGCAGUGGGGAGUAUUGGAGAAUGGGAGCAAGCCUGAUCCAGCACGACCGCGUGGGUGACGACGGAUUUCGGGUCGUACAGCCAUUCUGUCGGGACAGAAAAGACGCACGUUAAUACCUCGCUGUUCUGACGGCAACCAAAGAAUAAGCACCGGCUAACUUCGUG
rnacentral:rRNA from 1 species